UACGAAGGGGGCUAGCGUUGCUCGGAAUCACUGGGCGUAAAGGGUGCGUAGGCGGGUCUUUAAGUCAGGGGUGAAAUCCUGGAGCUCAACUCCAGAACUGCCUUUGAUACUGAGGAUCUUGAGUUCGGGAGAGGUGAGUGGAACUGCGAGUGUAGAGGUGAAAUUCGUAGAUAUUCGCAAGAACACCAGUGGCGAAGGCGGCUCACUGGCCCGAGUACUGACGCUGAUGCACGAAAGCUAGGGGAGCAAACAGG
rnacentral:rRNA from 1 species